rnacentral:lncRNA from 1 species
AUUUUGGACGUACAUUAUGUAGAGAGUUUUGGGAGAAUUGAUUUUCUUCUAUUGCUCAUAAAGGUAUAUAUAGAGUACAUAGAGUAUCAAAUCCUAACAACUAUAGGAUAUCAAAUACUACCAACUAUAGGACUGUACAAUAAUGAGAGAAUAUCUACCAAUAAUAAAAAAAAGAUACACAACACAAUAUAUCCUAAUACAUUUCUUAUAGUUUUCCCACAUUGGGCCUAAAGUUCCCACUGAACUUGAGUGCUUUAGAUCAUCGGGUUUAAAAUUCUCAGUAAACAUAGGUGAAAGUGAAACCCUACGAAUUGGUUAGAAACUUCUUCUACAGCUUCUCGGUGAACCUGGGUUAAAAGAUAAAACUUGAAACAUUAUAUGCUUAUGAUUUAUGAAGGGGAGGUCAUAAUUUGCCAAUGUUUUAAAAAAUGGGACUAAAAUAUAAAUGGUAGUUUGAAAAAGGGACACUCAGUUAUAUUUUUGUUUUCGGCGUUAAAGAAAUGACAGAAGUCAACGCCCAAAAGUGAUCCAUUCUCCUACUACUACUUCUACUACUGUCCCCGACUAAGCCUGUUCAUAUGUGGGCUUUGGGCCUGCUCAUCUGGUUUCCUGUGGGCCGUUAUGACAGAGGAACAAAGCCUGUGGCCCAGCUGCUUGGCCUGGUUGUUUAACUUCGAAAAGUACACAAAAUUACGAAGAAGCAACUUAUUCGUUGAGGCAUAACAACAAACAACCUAUCUGCAUACUUGAGAGGUAAUUAUGCUGCCACCACCAAGAGACGAGAGCGACAAAACAGCACAAGCAACGCCAACGGGAUCGACACCAAAAUGGUGAAAGAAGCGUCUAUGCUCGUAGGCAACCACAGCUUGUAUCAAAUGCUGAGGACAACUACUCAUCACCUCCAACUCAGCUCGUUUAGAGAAAGCAAUGAGUCGGGUCAAUAUUAUACCCAAUCAUGUAAGGGUGUGUUUGGCAGAAGGAAAAUGUUUUCUUAUGCCUCGUUUGGCCAUAAAAAAAGAUUUCUUUUUUUUCGAAAUCUUUUUUUUUUCAAAAUUAGUGUUUAGCCAUAAAAUUUUUAAAUGUCAUUCAAAGUUGAAUUUCAUAUUUUGAAAAAAUCCAAAAACUCACUUUCCAAAAUUUUCACUUCCAACCACUCACAAAAAUUCAAAAAUAGGUUCAAAUUGUAUUCGUGUCCAAAUACAACUCUAAUUUUUAAAUAUCAUUUUCAACUUGAUUUUUUUUACUUUUUUCCAAAAUUUCACAAAUUUUACGUCCAAACACCCAUCUGGAACAUGAGUGAUUUUAUUACUUAUAUUCUAAUGUUUGAUUAGUAAGUAGAAAACUAUUUUCAAAAAAUAUUUUUUAGUAUUUGGUUAGUGAAUAGAAAAUAUUUUUUGACAAAUAUAUAAUUUAAGCAAACAAUAUGGAAAACGAAUGGGUAGGAGGGGAAUAGGGGAUAGUGGUAGGGAUGGUGCGGGGUAGGGAGGGGAUAGGGUGGGUUGGGUGAAAGGUAGGGUGGAGGUUGGUUGGAUGGAAUGUGUAGGGGUGGGUUAGUGGGGGUGGAGGAAUAGAGUGAGAAAGGUUAAAAAGAAAUUUUGAAAAAUAUUUUUCCUUUCUGAACCUGAGCUCAUUUACGAGGGAAAAAAUAAAAUUGGAGAAAAAUGAGUUUAUGAUAGAAAAAGUUUUCCAAAAAUAUUUACCCAACCAAAUAUGAAAAUCAAAAAAUAUUCUUUUCAGAAAAUAAUUUCCUUCAUACUAAAUACACAAUGUCCUCUGUAUAUGGCAAAUAAGGGUGUUUGACAGAAUGUGAGCAACAAGCUAGAUCGUGACUAGAUUGUAGAAAGACUUAUGACUUGUGAUACAAUUAAGUAGUGAGUCAGACCCAAUAUAGCAAAGUUUAGAUGUCUAUAUAUAUAUUAUAUAUUUUGAUAUAGCAUGGAAUCUGAAAAUAGGAAGUGCACAUUUUCAAAAUCCUACUGAAUCGGCCUACCAACAGGCUAGUCUACACGCACCAAAUAUUAGAAAAAAAGAAAAAGGAGUUCCCACGUGUCCUCACAUCCC